UUUUUCUUUCCUCCAGGCCCCGGUGACUUCCAGGCAGGCAGCGAGCGCAGAGGUGUCACUGCCAGGAAACCAUCAAGAUAAGGGGCCUGCUCUGCGUGUCCGGCCGGUCUGGCAGGGUAUUUCUUCCAUAAGCGCCUUCGAGUGGCUCCCCACCUCAUUUAAGGAGUCCAUCCGUGUUGCAUGAUCCAACUCUGGACAUUUGUCUCAGUUUCUCCGCAUGAAGAGGACCCAUAAGGAACAAUGGAGCGAGGAACCAUGGUUAGUCCUAAGAUCAGCGGGAAACUUGUGUCUCUGUGCCUUCCCAGUGCAGAUACGUAUGGAAUACAUCACGGAUCCUGCCACGGCUCUGCCUUCCUUUCCUGUCUGCCUCACACAUUUUAUGCUGCCUUGUACGGUCUUCCUCGCCUUCUUCUUCAACGCUACCUGCGUCAGAGCAACAAUCUUCAUUUCUCCCUUUCCUCUAUAUUUUGUAUCCUCUUCUGCACCUGACUUCUUCUGCACAUGGAGUCUAGCUGCUCCAUGUGCUCCACCCGUUUCUCUUUUGCUUGUCAAGGGCUCCAGGUCCCUCUCCUCCCCAGUUAUCCAUGAAUAACUUGACAGUCCUUCCUCAGUUUUCCUGCUGCACCCAACGUUAUGCCACAGACCCCAUGCUUGCCCUGAUCCUGCAGUUUGUGUGCCUGCACGUGUCUCCAAAGUACCUCCUGCUCCGUAUGCUUGGAAGACAGAGGACACGCAAACCAGAAGGGCACCAGUGGGGAAAAGGAACGUCAGGAGUCAACAGGAAUCCAAGAGGGGAAGAGCCAACCUUGUCCCC